GAUAAACGCUGGCGGCGUGCUUAACACAUGCAAGUCGAACGAAGUUUUUCCUUCGGGAGAAACUUAGUGGCGGACGGGUGAGUAACGCGUGGGUAACCUGCCCUGUACAGGGGGACAACAGCUGGAAACGGCUGCUAAUACCGCAUAAGCCCUUAGCACUGCAUGGUGCAUAGGGAAAAGGAGCAAUCCGGUACAGGAUGGACCCGCGUCUGAUUAGCCAGUUGGCAGGGUAACGGCCUACCAAAGCGACGAUCAGUAGCCGAUCUGAGAGGAUGUACGGCCACAUUGGGACUGAGACACGGCCCAGACUCCUACGGGAGGCAGCAGUGGGGAAUAUUGCACAAUGGAGGAAACUCUGAUGCAGCGACGCCGCGUGAGUGAAGAAGUAUUUCGGUAUGUAAAGCUCUAUCAGCAGGGAAGAAAAUGACGGUACCUGACUAAGAAGCACCGGCUAAAUAUGUG
rnacentral:rRNA from 1 species